rnacentral:rRNA from 1 species
UACGUAGGGGGCAAGCGUUAUCCGGAUUUACUGGGUGUAAAGGGAGCGUAGACGGCACUGCAAGUCUGGAGUGAAAGCCCGAGGCCCAACCACGGGACUGCUCUGGAAACUGCGGGGCUGGAGUGCCGGAGAGGUAAGCGGAAUUCCUAGUGUAGCGGUGAAAUGCGUAGAUAUUAGGAGGAACACCAGUGGCGGAGGCGGCUUACUGGACGGUAACUGACGCUGAGGCUCGAAAGCGUGGGGAGCAAACAGG